GACGAACGCUGGCGGCGUGCCUAAUACAUGCAAGUUGAGCGAUGAAGAUUGGUGCUUGCACCAAUUUGAAGAGCAGCUAACGGGUGAGUAACGCGUGGGGAAUCUGCCUUUGAUCGGGGGACAACAUUUGGAAACGAAUGCUAAUACCGCAUAACACCUUUAAACAUAAGUUUUAAGUUUUAAAGAUGCAAUUGCAUCACUCAAAGAUGAUCCCGCGUUGUAUUAGCUAGUUGGUGAGGUAAAGGCUCACCAAGGCGAUGAUACAUAGCCGACCUGAGAGGGUGAUCGGCCACAUUGGGACUGAGACACGGCCCAAACUCCUACGGGAGGCAGCAGUAGGGAAUCUUCGGCAAUGGACGAAAGUCUGACCGAGCAACGCCGCGUGAGUGAAGAAGGUUUUCGGAUCGUAAAACUCUGUUGGUAGAGAAGAACGUUGGUGAGAGUGGAAAGCUCAUCAAGUGACGGUAACUACCCAGAAAGGGACGGCUAACUACGU
rnacentral:rRNA from 1 species